rnacentral:rRNA from 1 species
GAUGAACGCUGGCGGCGUGCCUAAUACAUGCAAGUCGAGCGAACAGACGAGGAGCUUGCUCCUCUGACGUUAGCGGCGGACGGGUGAGUAACACGUGGAUAACCUACCUAUAAGACUGGGUUAACUUCGGGAAACCGGAGCUAAUACCGGAUAAUAUAUUGAACCGCAUGGUUCAAUAGUGAAAGACGGUUUUGCUGUCACUUAUAGAUGGAUCCGCGCCGCAUUAGCUAGUUGGUAAGGUGACGGCUUACCAAGGCAACGAUGCGUAGCCGACCUGAGAGGGUGAUCGGCCACACUGGAACUGAGACACGGUCCAGACUCCUACGGGAGGCAGCAGUAGGGAAUCUUCCGCAAUGGGCGAAAGCCUGACGGAGCAACGCCGCGUGAGUGAUGAAGGUCUUCGGAUCGUAAAACUCUGUUAUUAGGGAAGAACAAAUGUGUAAGUAACUAUGCACGUCUUGACGGUACCUAAUCAGAAAGCCACGGCUAACUACGUG